GGGGAGGCUUGUACAGGUGCUGCAUGGCUGUCGUCAGCUCGUGUCGUGAGAUGUUCGGUUAAGUCCGCUAACGAGCGCAACCCUCGCUGUGUGUUACAAGUGUCACACGGAACUGCCGGUCGAUAAACCGGAGGAAGGUGGGGAUGACGUCAAGUCAGCAUGGCCUUUAUAUCCUGGGCUACACACACGCUACAAUGGGAAGGGACAAUAGGUUGCGAAGCCGCGAGGCGGAGCCAAUCCAGCAAAACUUCCCUCAGUUCAGAUUGCAGGCUGCAACUCGCCUGCAUGAAGUUGGAGUUGCUAGUAAACGCAGGUCAGCCAUACUGCGUUGAAUACGUUCCCGGGGCUU
rnacentral:rRNA from 1 species